CCUCGCAAAGUCUCGCCCCAUUCCGAGUCCGGCGGACGAACUUCGCCCGCGUCCCCCACCAAGGCUAUAGCCCACCCGUUUUUUGGCCAUUUUUCCGCUGGGGGGUUUUGGCACCACGACCUUCGGGCGCUUAUUUUUGGACGCGGCUGUGCCCGUGACUUCCCGCGGGCACCACGAGGCCCCUCGCAAAGUCUCGCCCCAUUCCGAGUCCGGCGGACGAACUUCGCCCGCGCCCCCCACCAAGGCUAUAGCCCACCCGUUUUUUGGCCUUUUUUCCGCUGGGGGGUUUUGGCACCACGACCUUCGGGCGCUUAUUUUUGGGCGUGGCUUUUCCCGCGGCUUAUUUUUGGUACCCCGAGGCCCCUCGCAAAGUCUCGCCCCAUUCCGAGUCCGGCGGACGAACUUCGCCCGCGCCCCCCACCAAGGCUAUAGCCCACUCGUUUUUUGGCCAUUUUUCCGCUGGGGGGUUUUCGCACCACGACCUUCGGGCUCUUAUUUUUGGGUACGGCUUUGCCUGCGGCUUAUUUUUGGCGCCCCGAGGACCUGCGCAAAGUCUCGCCCCAUUCCGAGUCCGGCGGACGAACUACGCCCGCGCCCCCCACCAAGGCUAUAGCCCACCCGUUUUUUGGCCUUUUUUCCGCUGGGGGGUUUUGGCACCACGACCUUCGGGCCCUUAUUUUUGGGCGCGGCUUUGCCCGUGGCUAAUUUUUGGCACCCCGAGGCCCCUCGCAAAGUCUCGCCCCAUUCCGAGUCCGGCGGACGAACUUCGCCCGCGCCCCCCACCAAGGCUAUAGCCCACCCGUUUUUUGGCCAUUUUUCCGCUGGGGGGUUUUGGCACCACGAUCUUCGGGCGCUUAUUUUUAGGCGCGGCUUUGCCCGCGGCUUAUUUUUGGCACCCCGAGGCCCCUCGCAAAGUCUCACCCCAUUCCGAGUCCGGCGGACGAACUUCGCCCGCGCCCCCCACCAAGGCUAUAGCCCACCCGUUUUUUGGCCAUUUUUCCGCUGGGGGGUUUUGGCACCACGACCUUCGGGCGCUUAUUUUUGGGUGCGGCUUUGCCCGCGGCUUAUUUUUGGCACCCCGAGGCCUCGCGCAUAGUCUCGCCCCAUUCCGAGUCCGGCGGACGAACUUCGACCGCGCCCCCCACCAAGCCUAUAGCCCACCCGUUUUUUGGCCAUUUUUCCGCUGGGGGGUUUUGGCACCACGACCUUCGGACGCUUAUUUUUCGACGCGGCUGUGCCCACGACUUCCCGCGGGCACCCCGAGGCCCCUCGCAAAGUCUCGCCCCAUUCCGAGUCCGGCGGACGAACUUCGCCCGCGCCCCCCACCAAGGCUAUAGCCCACCCGUUUUUUGGCCAUUUUACCCCUGGGGGGUUUUGGCACCACGACCUUCGGGCGCUUAUUUUUGGACGCGGCUGUGCCCGCGACUUCCCGCGGGCACCCCGAGGCCCCUCGCAAAGUCUCGCCCCAUUCCGAGUCCGGCGGACGAACUUCGCCCGCGCCCCCCACCAAGGCUAUAGCCCACCUGUUUUUUGGCCAUUUUUCCGCUGGGGGGUUUUGGCACCACGACCUUCGGGCGCUUAUUUUUGGACGCGGCUGUGCCCGUGACUUCCCGCGGGUACCACGAGGCCCCUCGCAAAGUCUCGCCCCAUUCCGAGUCCGGCGGACGAACUUCGCCCGCGCCCCCCACCAAGGCUAUAGCCCACCCGUUUUUUGGCCAUUUUUCUGCUGGGGGGUUUUGGCACCACGACCUUCCGGCGCUUAUUUCUGGACGCGGCUGUGCCCGCGACUUCCCGCGGGCACCCCGAGGCCCCUCGCAAAGUCUCGCCCCAUUCCGAGUCCAGCGGACGAACUUCGCCCGCGCCCCCCACCAAGGCCAUAGCCCACCCGUUUUUUGGCCAUUUUUCCGCUGGGGGGUUUGG
rnacentral:lncRNA from 1 species